GGUUAACAUUUCGACAAGUUCGAAAUAAUACACUUUAAGGCCCAGGGCCUUCACCAAAGAAGAAGAGUUCGACCUUGAUCGAAUGACGACGGGUUAACAUUUUGAUAACUUCGAAAAGACACCCUUUAAGGCCAAGGGCCUUCGCCAAAGAAGAAGAGUUCGACCUUGAUCGUACGACGACGGGUUAAUAUUUCUACAAGUUAGAAAUAACACCCUUUAAGGCCAAGGGCCUUCUCCAAAGAAGAAGAGUUCGACCUUGAUCGAACGACUACGGGUUAACAUUUCGAUAAGUUCGAAAUAACAUCCUUUAUGGCCAAGAGCCUUCGCCAAAGAAGAAGAGUUCCACCUUUAUCAAGCGAAGACGAGUUAAUAUUUCAACAAGUUCGAAAUAACACCCUUUAAGGCCAAGGGCCAUGGCCAAUAAAGAAGAGUUCGACCUUGAUCGAACGACGACGGGUUAAUAUUUCGAUAAGUUCGAAAUAACACCCUUUAAGGCCAAGGGCCUUCGCCAAAGAAGAAGAGUUCGACCUUGAUCGAAUGACGAUGGGUUAACAUUUCGAUAAGUUCGAAAUAAAACCCUUUAUGGCCAAGGGACUUUGCCAAAGAAGAAGAGUUCGACCUUGAUCGAACGAUGACGGGUUAAAUUUUCGACAAGUUCGAAAUAAUACACUUUAAGGCCAAAGAAGAAGUGUUCGACCAUGAUAGAACGACGACGGGUUAAUAUUUCGACAAGUUCGAAAUAAUACACUUUAAGGCCAAGGGCCUUCGCCAAGAAGGAGAGUUCGACCUUGAUCGAACGAGGAUGGGUUAACAUUUUGAUAAGUUCGAAAUAAUGACCUUUAAGGCCAAGGGGUUUCGCCAAUGAAGAAGAGUUCAACCUUGAUCGAACGACGACGGUUUAAUAUUUCGAUAAGUUCGAAAUAACAUCCUUUAAGGCCAAGGGCCUUCUCCAAAGAAGAAGAGUUCGACCUUGAUCGAACGACGACGGGUUAACAUUUUAAUAAUUUCGAAAUAAUUCCCUUUAAGGACAAGGGCCUUCGCCAAAGAAGAAGAGUUCGACCUUGAUCGAACGACGACGGGUUAAAAUUUCAAUAAGUUCGAAAUAACAUCCUUUAUGGCCAAGGUCCUUCGCCAAGGAAGAAGAGUUCCACCUUGAUCGAACGACGACGGGUUAAUAUUUCGAUAAGUUCGAAAUAACACCCUUUAAGGCCAAGGGCCUUCUCCAAAGAAGAAGAGUUCGACCUUGAUCGUACGACGACGGGUUAAUAUUUCUACAAGUUAGAAAUAACACCCUUUAAGGCCAAAGGCCUUCUCCAAAGAAGAAGUGUUCGACCUUGAUCGAACGACGACGGGUUAAUAUUUCGACAAGUUCGAAAUAAUACACUUUAAGGCCAAGGGCCUUCACCAAAGAAGAAGAGUUCGACCUUGAUCGAAUGACGACGGGUUAACAUUUUGAUAACUUCGAAAAGAUACCCUUUAAGGCCAAGGGCCUUCGCUAAAGAAGAAGAGUUCGACCUUGAUCGUACGACGACGGGU
rnacentral:lncRNA from 1 species